UCCCUGGUAGCUCAGAUGGUAAAGCGUCUGCCUUCAAUGCGGGAGACCUGGGUUCUAUCCCUGGGUCGGGAA
rnacentral:tRNA from 1 species